AAUCAAAGGCUUUGGAUCUUGAAGACACGUUUAUUAGUUAGAGAGUUACUAUUAUUAAGAGAGUUAAUCAAAAGUUAUCUCAAGGGCUGGUUUACCAACCGUCCGAUCCCCACAAAAGCGAAUCUGAACCAUCCAGCGACGAUGAUGCCCUGAGAAAGAGGAACUUCGUUCUCCAUCGAGCCCAAGCGCCGCCGCUCCGCCGCCAUCGCCGUCGCCGUCGACCCGCCCCCGCGGCGGAGAGGAACUGCAAGCCCUAGGUACGUGAAAGUGUGUGGGUGGGUUGGGGUUGAAGUUGAAUCGGCUCAGUUUUGUCUGCAGCUGAAAGCUUGAUUUCUCGGUCGGUCAGGUUCUGGUUUGUGUUUAGCUGCGGUGUGGAUUUGGGGGAUUCAGAGUUCAAAGUGAAAGUUCAUCUCUAAUUUGUUCAGUUCUUGUGCGGAAACUUGUGAAAAGUUUUAGUUUAGUUGCCCAAGUUUGUAGCUGAAACUUAAAUGUGAAUUCUUAAAAAAAAAACAACAGAUUUUCAGAAACUCGAAUAUUAGCUCAAACCUUUUGCGAUUGAAAUGUCCUAGCGCAUGCAAGAUCUGUCAAACAAGACUACAUGAUAUGAUCCAGGAGCUAGCGAAACACCUUCCAGAACAUACAAAUGAAGAGUUCUAUGUCCGAGACUAAAGUUUGUGCUAGUGAAUAUCUGACGGCCGAGGUGGAGCGGCUCUGGGUGGUCUACAUAAUGGAGGUCAGAGCUAUUACCCUGUUACAUGCUUGGCCAUUAAGUGAAAUGACAAAGCAGUUAAUUAAUCAUAGAUUUUAUACAUAUAAGCACAAGGCACCAAGGUAAAUGGAUUGUCACUGGUAGAUGCAUUGCACAAUGUCUCCAAUUCCUACCAUAAAAAUUUGCUUAAAGCAAAAAGUGCCAAUCUCACAUGCUCCUUUGAUUAUAGUUUCGUCCCCUUUAGCCUCUCUAUGUACUAUAUACACCUGUGAGCCUAUUUAAUAGAAAAGAAACAACAUAAAUAAAGCUAUUCUGUUGGAGGCUCAAAUAUGUUAAUUUAACAUGCCAAAACCUCAUCUGAAGUAAGGUAUUCUUGUAGUUAACUCAAUGCAUCUCCUUGCUUCACCUCAUUACCAAAUUAAGUAGGCUAAAUACUGCACUUGUUUUUUACUUAACACCCAAUAUCAAGCAAGGCCCUGAUCAAGCCAACAUCACUCUAACACGAGAGUAAGGUAUCAAGAACUCGGAUGUUAGUUGAAAUCUUUUUGCAGUUCCGAUUCACCUUAAAUUGUUCAUUACAUCACUCUAACAAGAUUAGCUACAUGAUGGAAGACCUACAGAAAUACUACUACCGUCAAGGAUUUAUGUGUGUCGUCUACAUACUGGAGGUCAGAUCGAUUUAUUACUUUGUUACCCUGCUUAUUAUCUACUAGACUUCACCUUCAAUCAAAUGGUCAAAGCAGUUAAUUAUAAUCACAUAUUGGCAUAUUGCACACCUAGAGCACAAGGCACCAAGGAAAAUGGUUUGUUAGCUCCAAUUUAUAAGUUCUGAAGGUACAUGCUUUGCAAAGCAUGUAUCCAAAUCCUACUGAUCAAUAUCUGCUUAAAGCAAAUGUGCCAAUCUCACAUGCUCCUUUGGUUUUAGUUUUGUGAACCUUUACCCUCUCUAAGUAUACAAUGUGUGGGGCUACUGUGCAUUUGUUCCUUUGAGCUUAGUAUAAUACACCUGUGAGCCUAUUUAAUAGAAAAGAAACAACACAAAAAAGCUAGUCUGUUGGAGGUUCAAAUAUGUUAAUUUAAGAUGCCAAAACCCCAUCCAAAGUAAGGUAUUCUUGUAGUUAACUCCACUGCAUUUCUUUGCUGCACCUCAUUAGUUACCUGCACUUCUUAUUUACAUCAAGCAAGGCCCUGAUCAAGCCAACAUUACAUUACCAAAUUAUGCCCUCCAAAACCACAAUUACACUCUGAGAAAUACAAUCCUCAUUUCUUGGAAAUAUUUUCCAUAUUCCUCAGUUCAUUGAGCAACCGUUUGUGAGCAGAUAUGGCUGAAUCGGCUGUUUCUGCAGCGGUUGGUAGCAUCAGCAACCUUGCUGCCCAGGAGACCUCACUGUUAUGUGGAGUCAUGGAUGAAGUUGGGUUCUUGAAAGCUGAGCUCGAGCGUCUCCAUGGCUUCCUUGAAGAUGCCAAGCACAAGAGGAGGUCUGGGGAUGCAAGUGCAGCUGUUCUUGUAGGGCAGAUCAGGGAUGCAGCAUAUGACGCCGAGAAUGUUAUUGAAGCAUCAGAGUACAUGGUGAAGCGAAACAAGCUCAAGAAGGGUUUCAUGGGUGCCAUUUCAAGGUAUGCUCGUUUACCAACUGAUUUGAUAGCCCUGCACAAAAUUGGUGUUGAAAUUCAAUGGAUAAGAAGGAAGAUCAGUGAGAUAUUUUACAGUGCAAACCGUUUAAAAAUCGUUGGAUUGGGUAAUCCUACCACAGACAUAGGUCAUGCUGAUGAUGAGUUUCCCCAAGAUUAUGAUAUUAUGUAUCAAAAUUUUGAAGAUGAUGAUGUAGUUGGAUUUGAUAAUGAGUACAAUGAGAUAGUAGAGAAGUUAGUUGAACAGGAGAACGAGCUUAGCGUUGUUUCCAUAGUAGCCAUGGGUGGUGCGGGGAAAACUACACUUGCUAGAAAAAUCUACAAUUCAACUAGAAUCAGAAAUCACUUUGACACAACUGCUUGGGUGACUGUAUCUCAAAAGUUCAAAGGCAUUGAUUUACUUAAAGAUAUUAUGAGACAGAUAAUGCCCAACAAACUUGAGUCUAGAGAAAUUGAUCAGAUGCAAGAGUUGGAGGUGGGAAAAAAGAUCCACGAAUUUUUAUUGAAUAAGAGAUAUGUUGUAGUGCUUGAUGAUGUGUGGGCAACAGAUACAUGGAAUCAAAUAAAUAGAGUGGGUAAAGUCUUUCCAGAUGCAAAUAAUGGCAGUAGAGUAUUGUUAACCACUCGAAAGGAAGAUGUUGCAAAUCAUAUUGAAAUGUCGACCUACAUCCAUCCUCUGAAGCUCUUAGAUGAUGAGAAAAGUUGGGAACUUUUUAGUAGAAAAUCUUUACCAUCAUACAAAAGGUCUUCACUACAAGAUGUUAAUGAGUUUGAAGAACUAGGGAGAAAGCUUGCUAGAAAAUGCAACGGAUUGCCUCUUGCACUUGCAGUUCUGGGGGGUUAUCUGUCCAAAAAUCUAAACAUACAAGCAUGGUCAGACAUAUUUAAGAGCCGGAUAUCAACAAAAAAUGGACAGAUGAUGCGAGACAUACUAGCUCGCAGUUACAAUGAUCUGCCAAAUAAUUAUAUGAAGUCUUGCUUCCUUUAUAUUGCUGUUUUCCCUGAGGAUUAUUCUAUAUCUACGGCGGACCUUGUUGAAUUAUGGACAGCUGAAUGUUUUGUUCAGCCUAGAAGAAAAUAUAAGCCAGAAGAACUAGCAUACAAGUACAUAAGUGAGCUAGCUCAAAGAAGCCUCGUCCAAGUAGUUGAUAGAAGCACAGCACAUGGAUCGAUUUUAAGAAUAAAGAUCCAUGAUAUUUUGCGCGAUUGGUGCAUCGAAGAAGCAACACAAGAUGGGUUUUUUUUGUGUCACCGACAAAAAUACAGGUCGAGCUGAAGUAUCAUCAUUUAAUACCAUGACAUUCUAUCGGAAUUCUUUUCAUCACUUCUUUGAUGACAAGAUACUCCAGGCAACAGCUUAUAAACGUACUAUACUUGGCUUUAGUGUCCCAUCGAUGUUCCUACUGAAGCUGAAGUUUCUGAGAGUUCUUCAUGUAGAAAAUUCAACGAUAAAUAAUUUCUCCAUGGCAAUUAGUGAGUGCAUUCACCUCAGGCAUCUAAUAUUGAGAAAUUGUGUAAGUGUUAGACUCCCACCUUCAAUUGGAAAGCUUCUUUACUUGCAAACAAUAGAUUUGAGGAGAACAAUUUUGGAGUCAAUUGUACCAGAGUCCCUGUGGAAUAUUGCCUCUCUAAAGCAUGUUUAUCUUAGUGGAGGAUUUUACCCAACAAGGAAUGGCAAACAAAAAGAGCUUCGGACUUUUCAUUUGGAAACAUCGUCGUUCAAUUACUUCAGAAGUUCUGCGAGUGCUAUUGUGAAAUUUUUGGGCCAAAUGACUCAACUGGUUACCUUUGUUUUGGACUUCUCUCGCACCGACAUACCCGUGGAGAUGAUUAAAAUGCUUGCAAAUAUGCCUGAUGCAGUUGAAAUUCUUCUUCGUAGAUUCGAUGUGCUAGAUAAACUGCCUGGGAGUACACUCUUCCCUCAAUGUCUACGGCAGCUAGAUCUUUUUGCUAAUGUCAUUAAAGAAGACCCGAUGCCAAUCGUAGAGAAGCUUCCCUGUCUUGUGGUUCUUUCUUUGAGUGGGUAUCAAGGCCGGACAAUGUCCUGCUCUGCCCAAGGGUUCCCUCGGCUACAGCGCUUGGAUCUUUCAGUGUUCUACACAGAGGAGUGGAUCAUUGAAAUUGGGGCGCUGCCAAGACUCUCAUUUGGGUCUUCAUUGGUUUGAGAAUAUGAGGAAGCUGCCUGAUGGAUUGGGGCAACUUCCAUCCCUCAAGGAACUAGUUCUGAAAGAUCCCUUGAUUUCUGAAGAUGACAUCACUUGCAAAGAUCUACGAGGGAAAGGAUGCAAGGUGACAUACACCAGAUACAUGUUAUCGGGAGGGUUUUUUUAGAGGGAGGGAGGUACACCAGAUACAUGUUAUCAGGUGACAUACACCAGAUACAUACACCAGAGAAGUAGCAUAUUAAUUGAUCUGGAUUUUAUUUAAGGGAGGGAGGUUUCUCCCCGUUCCUGCGAGCUAUUCUCUGGGCUUCCUGCCUAUAAGAAGGUGACAUGUCAUCGUUUAUGAGGCAGUAAUCAUGAUGUACGUACAAGAUGAAUGUUUAUUACAACUAGAAAAAAUGCCCGUGCUUGCAACGGGUGAAGUUUAUUUUAAUCUUAUUAUUAUUAUAUGGUUUAGUUAAGAUGAAA